CUACGGGUCGCAGCAGUGGGGAAUAUUGCACAAUGGGCGCAAGCCUGAUGCAGCAACGCCGCGUGAGGGACGAAGGCCUUCGGGUUGUAAACCUCUUUUAGCAGGGAAGAAGCGAAAGUGACGGUACCUGCAGAAAAAGCACCGGCUAACUACGUGCCAGCAGCCGCGGUAAUACGUAGGGUGCAAGCGUUGUCCGGAAUUAUUGGGCGUAAAGAGCUCGUAGGCGGUUUGUCACGUCUGCUGUGAAAAGCCAAGGCUCAACCUUGGACUUGCAGUGGGUACGGGCAGGCUAGAGUGCGGUAGGGGAGAUGGGAAUUCCUGGUGUAGCGGUGGAAUGCGCAGAUAUCAGGAGGAACACCAAUGGCGAAGGCACAUCUCUGGGCCGUAACUGACGCUGAGGAGCGAAAGCGUGGGGAGCGAACAGGAUUAGAUACCCGCGUAGUC
rnacentral:rRNA from 1 species